GUUCUCACUGCCACCCGGCAGCCUUGGGCGCGGCAGGCUCUGCUUUACAGGGAGAACGUGGGGCACGGGGAGGGGGAGAGACCCCUCCGAGGCCACCCAGCUGGCAGGCAGGGCGGGGCUGGCCCCAGGCAGCUGGCCCUUAAGGACUUUGCCUGCUGAGAGCCACCAGGCUUUAGGAACGUUCCGGAGCCCUGGAAGAAGGCAGGCCCGUGGAAGCUUUGCACAAGGCGGCGGGCUCGCUCUUCCCAGUGCUCCGCUGGCCAUACUUGCGGCGGGUCUCUCCCUGCGCCCGCCGGGCAUCUCUCCGAUUUGGUGAGCCAGCCGCAUCGGGCUGGGUACGGUCCCCGGGGCUCCUGGCUCCUGUCUGGCCUGGGGAGAGGGCCGCUCGCGCGGGCAGAAGACCCAGGGCACAGAGGAGACGUAAACGCCAAAGACCCACUUUGACUCGUGUCUUUCACUGCCGCAUCUGAGCGCCUUUGAGGGUUGCGUGCAGAUCUAGCCAGGGCAGCUGGUGAGCCAGAAUGGAGAACUCGGGCCAGCCGGCUGCCGUCUCCAGGGCAGGGCCAGGCACCAGCCCCACUCCCCCAGACUCCCCCUCGCUUUGCUCUGCCCCCGCCCUUGUUCCGGGACCACCCUGCACAGACUCAGUGGCUGGUGCAGUCCCGGAAGAACCCAUGGAUGUCAGGGCUGAGCGGGAGCCCUGAGUUCCUGUCCUCUUGUCCCCUCAACCCCCCGCCGCUCACAUCCUCAUACAGAUGAGGUCCGAGAGGGUGGCCUGCUUGGCCAAGACUUUUCUUCUGAGCGUUGUCUCCGACUUUGGGGGCGGGACCCACCUCUGGCAAAUAGGUAGUUUUCUUCUUUGCAAAGACGGGGUGACCCAGCACCCCACAGCUGCGGGAUAGUGAUGCCGCUGCCCUGCCACGGAGGUUCUAGAAGCCAGAACCUUGACCCUGUGGCGUUGGCUCAUAGUUGGUGCUCAGCUAAGGCCAAGAUCAGACACCAGCACCGGAUAGGUGUUCAGUACGAGAGGGUGCAUUGAAAUCAGAUCCCUUCAUUGCCAGGAAGAAGCUCACGAGAAGGGCUGGAAGGAUGUUUGUGGAACGAAGAAAUAAACGCGUGCUCUUUGAGGGGAUAAAGAAGCAGAGAGAAAAAGAAGAAUCCGGGGAAGAUGGACAUAAAUCUCCACCAAGCACCGCCAAGGCUUUGCAGCCCAGGCGGCUGAAAAGACCCCGCGGAGGCAGAAGGGGCCAUUUGUCACAGGCGGGGACUGGCUUGAGGGCCAGGAAGCAAGGGUGUGACGGAGGCUCAUCCAUCAUCUUCCCAUUAUUCCCCCGACGUGGAAAGGAGCCUGCGCGAGCCCGCGUGGCAGAAUGGGCGUGGGGGUGGGGGUAGGGGUGGGGAGGGACCCCAAGGAACGGCAGGCCCGGCAGGUGAGCCCACGGCUCCGGGUCAGGUCCCAAAGCCCUGGCGUGGGCAGCAGAGAGGACAGGAGCCACUCAAGGCCACCUGACAAGUCACGGGGCAGGACUUUGUGGCCAGUAUGGCUCUAGGACCCAAAUGGGUGCGUGAUCGAACAUCUGAAAACCCGUCUCGUGCCCUUGGUGUGAGGCGGUGGCUUUCGUACCUGUGAGUCCCAGUGCCAGGCCUGGGUUCGUGCCAUGCCCCUGCCCGGAACGUCCCUCUGCCACCUCCUGCAGGAAGCUGUCCCUGAUCUGCCCCUGCACCCGACACACACACACCUCAGCCUCAAUCUGCAGGGAUCAGCCCCCUGAUUCUUCAAUCAACAGGUAUCUCUCUGCCCAGCUGGCAAGCUCUGCAGGGGGUCUCUCUGUUUUCCGCGAGCCCACCCCGGACCAUCAGCACCAGACUCCUCCUGCUUCCCAGGACUCCGGGGAAGGUCCUGCUCUUGGAGAAGGUCAAUGGCAUCCACACCCCAGCAGAACAGACACGCGGCCCUGCCCCUGCCCCUCCCCAGGAAGAAGUGGGGGCCGUACGCUCCCCACCCUUCAUAAAGCACCCUGAGUGGGUCCCAGGAGUGGAUCCGUCAGGGGUCAGGCCCGCGCUGUGGACUGGGGAGGACCACGAGGGCACGCAGAGAACUCCUGAGUGACCAUGAACUGCAGCGGAAGAGCCAUUGACAUGUGCCCUCCCCCCAAAAAAGGCUCAGAAAUUCCUGCUCUUCCUUUGCAAACACUUGGCAUGUUUUGGGGCUAUUUGAAUAAUAAAUACACAUUAUAAAACUCCAAA